GUCCAUGCUGUAAACGAUGAGAACUGGGUGUUGUGGGUAUUGACCCCCGCGGUGCCGAAGCCAACGCGUUAAGUUCUCCGCCUGGGAAGUACGGCCGCAAGGCUAAAACUCAAAGGAAUUGACGGGGGCCCGCACAAGCGGUGGAGCAUGUGGUUUAAUUCGACGCAACGCGAAGAACCUUACCCGGGCUCGAAAGUGCUGGAACUUGGCUGAAAAGCCGGGGUGCUCGCAAGAGAGCCAGUGUCCAGGUGCUGCAUGGCUGUCGU
rnacentral:rRNA from 1 species